UACGUAGGUGGCAAGCGUUAUCCGGAAUUAUUGGGCGUAAAGCGCGCGCAGGCGGUUUCUUAAGUCUGAUGUGAAAGUCCACGGCUCAACCGUGGAGGGUCAUUGGAAACUGGGGAACUUGAGUGCAGAAGAGAAAAGCGGAAUUCCACGUGUAGCGGUGAAAUGCGUAGAGAUGUGGAGGAACACCAGUGGCGAAGGCGGCUUUUUGGUCUGUAACUGACGCUGAGGCGCGAAAGCGUGGGGAGCAAACAGGG
rnacentral:rRNA from 1 species